rnacentral:lncRNA from 1 species
CUUCCCAGAGUUGCUUCAUCUUCUACUUGGUGGACUACAAGCCCCUCAGGUUUAAAUGGUGGUACGUGUAGCCAGACUGGGCCUUUGCACUGGGCUGGGCCAUGGCCCUCUCCUCCAACCUCCUGGUGCCACUGUGAUCGAUUGGCAGGAUCUAUGUUGGCACAGGCCGCCUCAGGCAGAAUGGACCAUAAUCAUGCACCUGUCUCGAAACCUGGGCAGCGGGAAAAAAUACAUGUCAUCUAUGCACUUAAAUAGCAAAUGGAGGACGCUUUUCCUGUGGUUCAUUAUCAUGCCAGCCAGAUUUAGGAUACUACUGAGGAGAUUACCAUUGUGGGAGCCAGGAGGAGGAAAGCCAAGAGGACAAUUCAGACCCAGAGCUGAGGUGGCUCCAAAAAACCCAGCAACUCAAGGACAAGAAAAUGAGACGACAGAAGCUGUAUUCAAAUGUGAUCCGUGAGCAGAACAAGAAGAUAAGUAGGAUUACCUUUCUGCCGGACGCCAAGAACCCAUUGGGCAGUGACAACAAGGACAACAUGGUUCCCAGAAGGGAUUCUCUCUCUGAUUCUCUCUCUGUCUCUCUCUCUGUCUCUCUCUCUGAUUCUGUCUGUCUGUCUGUCUGUCUGUCUGUCUGUCUGUCUGUCUGUCUGUCUGUCUGUCUGUCUGUCUGUCUGUCUGUCUGUCUGUCUGUCUGUCUGUCUGUCUGUCUGUCUGUCUGUCUGUCUGUCUGUCUGUCUGUCCCUCUCUCUCUGAUUCUCUCUCGGUCUCUCUCUGUUACCUUCCUUCUGGCAGAUAGACAGAGACAGAGAGAGAAUUAGAGAGACUCAGAGAGAGAGAGAGAGUGGGGGUGAGAGAGAAAAUGACUUAGAGGUGAAGAGACAGAGACAAAAAGAGAGAGAGAGAGAAAGAAAGAAAAAACAAAGAGAAAGAGAGAGUACAUUGCUUCAUAACAAGUGCAUCCAUCUCAUCCUGGUUUCCUCAGUCAAUUUGUCCAUCAUCGUCAUCUGUCAGCUUGAGUGUAUUGCAACUCCAGUCCCCACUUUUAGUUAUUUACAGGACCAGUCAAAAGUUUGGACACACCUGCUCAUUCAAGGAUUUUUCUUUAUUUUUAUUAUUUUCUACAUUAUAGAAUAAUAGUGAAGACAUCAAAACUAUGAAAUAACACAUAUGGAAUCAUGUAGUAACCCCCAAAAAAUGUACUCUUAAUGAUCGGCCCCCUUUUUUAAAUGUUCACCUAAAAUGAUGUACCCAAAUCUAACUGCCUGUAGCUCAGGACCUGAAGCAAGGAUAUACAUAUUCUUGAUACCAUUUGAAAGGAAACACAUUGAAGUUUGUGGAAAUGUGAAAUGAAUGUAGGAGAAUAUAACACAUUAGAUAUCGUAAAAGAUAAUACAAACAAAAAAACAUGCCUUUUCAACAACAAAAAUCAUCUUUGAAAUGCAAGAGAAAGGCCAUACAUUCAGAUAGGAUUUUAGGUGUAAUUUAUGUGUUGUCCACAAGAUGGCAGCAGUGUCUGUGCAAAGUGUCAUACAAAUCCAGUGAAGAAUUACAACACUACACAACAUUUUGUAUCAAGUCUGCCAGGAGUUUGCCCAAAUGUGCCAAAUUGGUGAAUUAAUACAUUUUCAAGUACAAAAAAAUAUAAAAAAUGUAACUAGGCAUGUCAGUUAAGAACGAAUUAUUAUUUACAAUGACGGCCUACCCCGGCCAAACCCUAACCGGGAUGAUGCUGGGCCAAUUGUGUACCGCCCUAUGGGACUCCCAAUCAGGACUUGUUGUGAUACAGCCUGGAAUCAAACCAGAGUCUGUAGUGACGCCUCUAGCACUGAGAUGCAUUACCUUAGACCGCUGUGCCUCUUGGGAGCCCAAUUAUAGAGAACAUACAAAAAUGCUAUGGUAAUAUAAAAUUUACGUUUACACCUCCAGAAAUGUCAUACAUGAAGGGUCAUUAGCUUUCCUACAGAAAAUACACUAACCUACACACAUCUAGAUGGCGGGGGCGGGUGGAGCCAGCAGUGGGGUCAAACUGUAGAACCCAGUUCCAACAUUUGAAAAUAAUUUUAUUUAUUUUUUCAAACAAAACUAUGCUACAUUUUAUCUCUGGGACCUCAGGAUGACAAAUCAGAGCAAGAUUACUGAAUGUAAGUACAUUAUUUACCUUCAGAGGUAAAUGUAGCAAACCAGUUGCUGUGAUAAAAGUGCUUUGUUGUUGUGCACUCAAACAAUUGCAUGGUAUUUUUUUGUUGUAAUAGCUAUUGUAAAUUGGACACUGCAGUUAGAUUAACAACAAUUUAAGCUUUUAUUUUUUAUUUUACUAGGCAAGUUAGUUAAGAACAAAUUUGUAUUUAUAAUGACAACCUACCCCGGUCAAACCCUAACCCGGACGAUGCUGGGCCAAUUGUGAUUCCAGUUGUGGUACAGCCUGGAAUUUAACCAGGGUCUGUAGUGACACCUCUAGCACUGAGAUGCAGUGCCUUAGACCGCUGCGCCCCUCGGGAGAUUUCUGCCCAUAUAAGUUAUGUCUAUGUCCUGGAAUUGGCUGUUGGUUACAAUGUCAUUCUAGUGACAUUAUCGCAUAUUGAGCAACAACCAUCCCCUAUUAGGGACACCGAUCCCUUAGAGGUUAAACAAAUCAAAAUAUAUUUUAUAUUUGAGAUUCUUCAAAGUAGCCACCCUUUGCCUUGAUGAGAGCUUUGCAUGCUCUUGGCAUUCUCUCAACCAGCUUCAUGAGUAAUGCUUUUCCAACAGUCUUGAAGGAGUUCCCACAUAUGCUGAGCACUUGUUAGCUGCUUUUCCUUCAUUCUGCGGUCCAACUCAUCCCAAACCAUCUCAAUUGGGUUGAGGUCGGGUGAUUGUGGAGGCCAGGUGAUCUGAUGCAGCACUCCAUCACUCUCCUUGGUCAAAUAGCCCUUACACAGCCUGGCGGUGUUUUUGGGUCAGUGUCCUGUUGAAAAACAAAUUGUAGUCCCACUAAGCGCAAACCAGAUGGGAUGGCGUAUCGCUGCAGAAUGCUGUGGUAGCUAUGCUGGUUAAGUGUGCCUUGAAAUCUAAAUAAAUCACUGACAAUGUCACCAGCAAAGCACCCCCACACCAUAACACCUCCUCCUCCAUGCUUCAAGGUGGGAACCACUCAUGUGGAGAUCAUCCGUUCACAAAUAGUCUCACAAAGACGCAGCGGUUGGAACCAAAAAUCUCAAAUUUGGACUCAUCAGACCAAGGGAUAGAGUUCCACCAGUCUAAUGCCAAUUGUUUGUGUUUCUUGGCCCAAGCAAGUCACUUCUUGGGGCAGCAGGUAGCCUAGUGUUUAGAGUGUUGGGUCAGUAACCAAAAGGUUGCUGGAUCAAAUCCCUGAGAUGACAAGGUAAAAGUCUGAACAAGGCAGUUAACCCACUGUUCUCCCGUAGGCUGUCAUUGUAAAUAAGAAUUUGUUCUUAACUGACUUGCCUAGUUAAACAAAAAAUAUAUAUUCUUAUUGGUCCUUUAGUAGUGGUUUCUUUGCAGCAAUUUGACCAUGAAGGCCUGAUUCAUUCAGUAUCCUCUGAACAGUUGAUGUUGUGAUGUGUAUGUUACUUGAACUCUGUGAAGCAUUUAUUUGGGCUGCAAUCUGAGGUGAAGUUAACUCUAACUGUCACGUCCUGACCAGUAAAGGGGCUGUUUGUUAUUGUAGUUUGGUCAGGGCAUGGCAGGGGGUGUUUGUUUAGGGUGUUUCGGGGUUGUUUGGGUUAUGUUCUAUGUUAGUGUAUUUCUAUGUUAUUUCUAGUUGGUUUAUUUCUAUGUGGUGUUUAUUGGGUUGACCUUCAAUUGGAGGCAGCUGCUUCUCAUUGCCUCUGAUUGAAGGUCCUAUUUAUAGGGGUGUUUGUUCUAUGGGGUUGUGGGUAGUUAUUUCCUGCUUUAGUGUUUGUUGCACCUGACGGGACUGUUUGGAGUCGUUUGUUUUGUAUACGUGUUUAUUUUGUUUUUCCUUCUUCAAAUAAAAAGAAGAUGAGUAUACAUUUUCCCGCUGCGUUUUGGUCCACUCCUUACGACAAUCAUGACAGAACUACCCACCACCAACGGACCAAGCAGCGGAGGAAGGAGCAGCAGCAGAGCUAUAAGGAAUCAUGGACAUGGGAGCAGAUAAUAGCGGGAGAAAGACCAUGGAGGAAGGCUGGAGAGGACCGGGAAAGUUAUGUGGGUACACGACUGGCAAGGAAGCCUGAAAGGCAGCCCCAAUAAUUUUUUUGGGGGGGGCACACGGGAAGAUUAGCUAGGUCAGGCAAUAGACCUGAGCCAACUUCCCGUGCUUAUUAUGGGGAGCAACGGAUCAUGAGAGCACCGGUGUAUGCGGAAGUGCGCACGAUCUCGCCCAUGCGCACGCACAGUCCGGUGCGAGCGAUCCCAGCUCCUCGCAAGUGCCGUGCAAGAGUGGGCAUCCAGCCGGGUAGGAGUAUGCCUGCACAGCACAUCUGGCCACCAGUGCGCCUCCUAGGCCCAGGCUACCCUACGCCUGCUCUACGCACGGCAGCCAUCAGGCCUCUGCACAGCCCAGUUCGCCCUGUGCCAGCACUCCGCUCGUGCAGGGCUGCUGUUACCAUCCAGCCAGGGCGGGCCGGUGCCUACUCAUGACCCAGUGUAUCCAGUUCCCGCUCCUCGCACUAGCCUUGAGGUGCGUGUUUCCAGUCUGGCGCCUCCAAAGCCAGCACCAGGCCUCCAGUGCGUCAGCCCAGUCCAGUGCGUCCUGCUCAUGCUCCUCGCACAUGCCCUGUGGUGCGUGUCCCUAGUCUGGCGCCUCCAAAGCCAGCCCUACGCAUCAGGCCUUCAGUGCGCAGUCCUCGUCCAGAGCUUCCGGCGACAGUGCCCCAUCUAGAGUCGGACCUCCAGUCCGGAGCUCCCCAGAGUCGGACCUCCAGUCCGGAGCUCCCCAGAGUCGGCCCUCCAGUCCGGAGCUCCCCAGCGACGCGCAUCAGCCCAGAGACUUUGGGAGGGGUAAAUAAUAAUAAGCAGUUAGCGGGGGUGGACAGGUUAGGUUGGGGAGUAAGGCCGGAGCCUGAGCCACCUCCGUAGUUGUGGGGGGGGGCUGUUUGUUAUUGUAGUUUGGUCAGGGCGUGUUUGUUUAGGGUGUUUCGGGGUUGUUUGGGUUAUGUUCUAUGUUAGUGUAUUUCUAUGUUAUUUGUAGUUGGUCUAUUUCUGUGGUGUUUAUUGGGUUGACCUUCAAUUGGAGGCAGCUGCUUCUCGUUGUCUCUGAAGGUCCGAUUUAUAGGGGUGUUUGUUCUAUGGGGUUGUGGGUAGUUAUUUCCUGCUUUAGUGUUUGUUGCACCUGACGGGACUGUUUGGAGUCUUGUUUUGUAUACGUGUUUAUUUUGUUUUUCCUUCAAAUAAAAAGAUGAGUAUACAUUUUCCCGCUGCGUUUUGGUCCACUCCUUACGACGGCCGUGACAUUAACGAACUUAUCCUUUGCAGCAGAGGUAACUCUGGGUCUUCCUUUCCUGUGGCAGUCCUCAUGAAAGCCAGUGUCAUCAUAGCGCUUGAUGGUUUUUGCGACUGCACUUGAAGAACUUUCAAAGUUCUUGAAAUGUUCCGUAUUAACUGACCUUUGUCUUAAGUAAUGAUGGACUGUCGUUUCUCUUUGCUUAUUUGAAGUGUUCUUGCUAUAAUAUGGACUUAGUAUUUUACCAAAUAGGGCUAUCUUCUGUAUACCAUCCGUACCUUGUCACAACACAACUGAUUGGCUCAAACGCUUCAAUUAAGAAGGAAAUAAAUCCCACAAAUUAACAAGGCACACCUGUUAAUUGGAAUGCAUUCCAGGGAACUACCACAUGAAGCUGGUUGAGAGAAUGCCAAGAGUGUGCAAAGCUGUCAAGGCAACGGGUGGCUACUUUGAAUAAUAUAAAAUAUAUUUUGAUUUGUUUAACAUGAUUCCAUAUGUGUUAUUUCAUAGUUUUGAUGUCUUCACUAUUAUUCUACAAGAUAAAUAAACCCUGGAAUGAGUAGGUGUGUCCAAACUUUUGACUGGUACCUAUAACAAACGAAUCCCCAUGCACUGAGAUUGCGAGUCUGAGAACGAUUAAGGACACGUCAACAUUCUGUCACAAAGUUGAAUCGCCAAGUUCACUCAGCUAUAUGAAAGCCUAGUUGUUUUUCAGCUCUUGCAGGUGUACCUUUCCCUCCCCCUCCAUCUCCAAACUAUUCUUCUGUAAAACUUUACCUGAAGCCUACAGGCCCUGGAGUAUGCCAGGUGCAUCCUGCGGCCCAAGGUGGCGCCCCUGCCUCAGCAGACCAAGACCAGACAGCCAGAGUGGGCCCAGGGGCCACACUCGCCUCCUGGAGGGCUUCGACAUAUCCCAGCUGGCCACACUGGAGGCCCUGAGGAAACGGCGAGAGCAGGAGAAACAGACCGUGGCCCACUUCAAGGUGGUGCACACCAUCUGACACUACAUCGGCCCAGUUACUUUAUAACACACAGGAGUCACGCAACAACAGGUUUCCCCUUACAGCUGACACGGCCAUUAAACUUUUGGGGAAAGGCAGUAUAUGGACUAUAUAGACAAUAUGGAGGAAUAAGCAGGGAAAUAUUGCAGCAAUCGUUCAUUCAUGCUUGUGUCAACUGCAAUUUGGCGUGUUACAGAGUAGCCUGUCUGUAUGUGGUUGUUGACAUAAGCAUUUACUGUAUGAAUGCAUUUUUACGACCAAUGAAGUUGUAGCUUGCGCGUUUGUUCAUAUGAUUUGAUGUACUUAAACCAUAGGUAAACAUGGUACUUAUACCAUACCGUAAUUUAUACUAUAGGCAAACAUGGUACUGUAAUCCCAAACCAAGUGUUGUUGUUUUUUGCUCAAAGUUGAUAAGGUAUUGUUUGAAUAAUAUGCAAAUGUUUGUACACAUUUCAGAUAAAUAAUGCUCUGGCUAUUGAUAAUGAUUCCACAAUUCCUUGAAUAUUCCUCUGCUAAUAUUCCUUACAAUUGCUCAUGAGUCAUGACUUGAGUGCACAUGACCUGAAAAUGUUUAAUACAGCUGCUCAAGUCAAUUCAGGCAUAACACAUAUGGUUUGUGGUUAUACAAUAUUACACAUACAGUGUUAAUAGUACAAUACUAUAUACAAUCUGAGAGAACAUGUAAACCUUCUAAAGCUUUGUGUAGGUUGCUUGAUGACAAGGAAUCGGCAACUGAGUACAAAGACCAUGGCUAGACCAUUGGUAGAGAUCUAAUGGUCAACUUGUUGUCAUAAUGACAAAGGACACUUAUGGAAACACUAAAAAACAUAGUGCGCUCCGCCUUUUCUCUUUUUUUUAUAGUUUUGAUAGCACUCGACAUUGAAACAUCCUUUGUAAAUUCAACAAUACAUCAUUAAAUCGGAAAGCUUUUGGUACUGCGGGCUAUAUUGUCUCAUUUUUGGGGGGUACUAGUCGGUAAUUCACACGUUGGCAUUUUAUCCACAUUUCCAAUUUGCCCCCUUUCACCCUCUCACGCACCUGGUUGCUGCUGUUAAUCUGAAAUAAUCUGCUCUUUUUGUUCCGUGCCUGAUUAUUUUCUCCCUGUAUCCCCCCCGUCUCUACUUCCAGAUACAAAUGAGUCAAACAAAGAUGACCCUUUGAAGCCCACCUGAUUAGGGCUCCGUAAACUAGUGAUAAUUUUCCCACCAAUAAAACAAAUCUCAAGCACCCCCCAUUUCUUUAAUAGAGCCGUCAGAUCAUUAUAAAAGAGCUAUUUACUCCUAUGUAAUAUUUUAAUUUGAUUAUAGUCUCUAUUUAACCCAUCAUGGCGUCUUUGAUGCACUGUGUUUUUAGUGUUUAAGCCUCAGAUGCGUGGGGGUAAUAAUAAAUACCGGACCUUUUGAAUUAAUGAGAAACACUGCCUAUCCAGACCAACUCUCUUUGCAUCUUUCCCCCCACCCCUCUUUUGCCAUAGAAAUCCAGUUAAUUGAAGGAGUCUCUCACCACCACACAUGAAGGGGGCUAAAUUAGCAUCCCUUUCUGCCGAUUGGAAUAGCCGGGGCAGACGCGCACGCUUUGAUGUGAGGACAGCGCCUAAGUAGGCGGCAGGCCCCUGAAAAUGAGCUGAUGGCCCCACUAUUAGGCCCAAAUGCAGAUGCAUCCAUGUGUUGCAAAACGCUUAAUCUUUUAAUUGAUCACCUUCCGCACAGCCUAUUCUCUUCAACGCUUUUUAUUUUCUCAGUAAAUCUGCAUCACGUUUUGAAAACGACAUGAUUUGCUUUUCAAAGGGCGGGAGAGUGCUACAUAUCCUGUUUGGAUGAGCCUGUUAAUGUAAACCUUCUAAAUUGAUGGGGAGCUGCCUCAUGGUGCACAUUUAAAUGACUGAAUAAAUUAAAUAAUAGCUGGUAUUGAUGAUUUUGGCCUGUGCGCGUGUGUGUGCGUACGUGUGUGUGGGUAUGGUGUGAAUGCAUGUGUGUGUGAGUACACAUGUGCAUGCUUUUAAAGGCUAAGGCCCAGAAGGCUAACUGCAAGUGUGACUGCAACUGCAAGUGUGGGUAUAGAUGUGGGUACAUAGACCCGCUAGACACUGCGGCCCCUCAUGAUAAGUUCUGAUUUUUUGUGGCCAUCAAAGUUGCCCAUGCCUGCUAUAGAUGAUCACAGUUCACUAAUUGAGCUAUGACCGAUGACAAUUGAAGUUCCAUAACAUUCUGAUCAAACCAAUGUGUUCCCAGUGGUACCCUGAGCAGUGCUCUGGCCAGGUUCUCCAUGAUUAGGUUUUUGGUCUCAGGGAUAACCUCUAUGGAUUGGAAUCCACCCACUCACUCUUGUUACACUACUACUUUGGGUGUGCCAGGUCAUCUAGAGGUUAGAGAGGCGGUCCAGCAGCCGGAGGGUUGCCAGUUCGAAUCCCAAGUCUGAUAGGAAAAUCUUGUGGCAAGUGGCAUGCCAUCUCCUGCCAUUGCACCCUUGAGCAAAGCACUUAACCCAUAAUCUGCCCCAGGGGCAGACCCUGGCAUGCAACUCCUUGGUGUGUGUGUGUAGGUGUUUGUGCUUCUCUGGGGUUUGGGUUAAAAGGCAAAUUGUCUGAAAAUAAAAUGGAUAAGAAAGUAUGUUUCUACUAGAGAUGAUACCUAAAGAAAAAUGUAUCACUCAUUGCCAUAGCAGAAGAAAUUAGCGUAGUUACUCAAAUGGAAACCAUUAUAUUUCUAUGUUUACUCACCUGUAGGCCUAAAGGGUAGCGUUUGCAUGCUACUGGUGAGUGUUAUCUAAGGUGAGUAUCUUCUAAGAAUGUGUACAAACAACAAACCAAUUCAAUGGGCCAAAGGCCCUACUGAUCCUUACCAUAUUCAGAGAAAAUGAAAAAUGGGUGUGUUACGAAGGAGUUACUUUCACCAAGACAUGGACAUUAUUUUCAAUAUUGUGAUUUAAACUCCCAUCAAUUACUGUUGUGUUUUGAUUAAAACAUGCUAUGCGUUA